rnacentral:misc_RNA from 1 species
CUCUCUCUCUCUCUCUCUCUUCCUCCCCUAACUGAAAUUUUCCCGAGAAACAGACGGACUAUUCAAACUCUUAUCUCUAUCCCUAUCUCAAUCGCAGUCGCACCUUCUUCAUCAUCUUGUCUCUUUUCUUCUUCUUUUUGUUCUUCUUCUUCUUCUUCUUAUCCGUCAUCUCCUUACAACAUCCCAAUUCUCUUUACAACAUCCCAAUUCUCUCACCCGCGGCAGUAAUUUAUAAUAAUAUAAUCAAAUCCCAACUUCCCUACUAAUUUAAUUUAAUUUAUUUUUUUUUUUUUACUUGUUUUAAAACCAAUCAUCAUACAUGGGUUGUGCCACUUCCAAGCUCGACGAUCUUCCGGCGGUGGCCCUCUGCCGGGACCGCUGUGCUUUUCUUGAUGAAGCUAUUAACCAGCGCUUUGCUUUUGCUGAAGCCCACAAUGCAUAUAUUUACUCUUUGAGAAUGAUUGGUGGUUCUUUGCAUCAUUUUAUAGAACAGGAAUAUUCUGCUUCCGGGUUUGUUCCUAAGCUCAAUUUGCCUCCUCAAAGAAAAGGCGAUCCGCUCACUCUCAGCGAUGAAGGUACCAGUUCACCCAAGAAGCGUAACAUAGCUCACGACUCUCACUCCAACUCUGGUUCCCACCUGCACUUCCACUCUGAUUCUGAUGACGACGACGAUGAUAUCUCGCAUCUCCAUCAUUCUGAUCAUUCCUCGCCUUUGCACGGCAGUGGUAGCGGAGGUGGAGGUCAUAUCGAGUAUAUGCCUUCAGAGUACAUGGGUACUGGGCACGAUUCAUAUUCCGGUGGUGGGUUUCUGCACAUGAAUUAUAUGAAGAAUAAAGCCACCACCCCGUCUGUGGUAUAUGAGCAGAGGCCUGUGACUUCAGAGACUGUUCAUUUUGGUGAAUCUUCAUCUUCUUCUUAUUUUUAUCCGAAUAGUUCCUAUCAAAUGAAUUAUUUAUACCCAAAUUAUGGUCCUGCUGGCGGUGCAAUGACUGGGUACUACGGGUCUUUCCCGCCGUACGGGUCUUCAUCUACACCUCCGCCGCCGACGGCUUCCUCAUCAAAACCUCCGCCACCUCCUCCUCCACCUCCUUCAACUUCAGCUUUGGAUUUCUUGAAUCUGUUUGAAAGCUAUGAUAAUUACUAUCCUCCUUACACGCCAAGUAGAGACUCAAAGGAGUUGAGGGAAGAGGAGGGAAUUCCUGAUUUGGAAGAUGAGGAUUACCAACAAGAGGUCGUGAAGGAGGUCCACGGACACGAGAAGUAUGUUGAUGGUGGUGGAGGUGGUGCUAAGGCUAAUCAUUAUUCGAAAUCAGUGAUGAUGGACGAUGGGGAUGCUAAUGUUGGUGGAAAUACUGAGGCCUCCCUUUAUCAAACGAGACCGAGUGCGUCCAUGGAUAAUGAUGGACUGGAGUAUGAGGUGCAUGUGGUGGAGAAGAAAGUUGAUGAUGAGAGAUCAGAGGAGCAUAGAAAUGCCGGAUUUAAGAGAGGUGGUGGUUUGUUGGACGUGUCUCAAGUGGCUUUCGAAAUCAAGAUUCAAUUUGAGAGAGCUUCUGAUUCUGGGAAAGAAAUUGCCCAGAUGCUUGAAGUGGGGAGGCUUCCUUAUCAGCGUAAACAUGGUGGGUAUAAAAUGUUCAUUCUCUAGGAUUUUUUUUUUCUUUAAAAAUAUUGAUGACGUUAUUUUUAUAUUGCCAUGGUCUUAUACGCUUUCUUGAUCUGUAUGAGUUCUUGUGUUUUUGGUGUUAGGGUCAACUAGAUUUUUAAAUAUAUAAUAGUUUCUGAUUGGUUUAUAUAUAUUAUUUAAGUGAACUGGAUUUCACUUAGCUAGAGUUUAACUUGCAAUUCUUGAUCUUUGUGAAUCAGUUUCUAAGAUGUUGCAUGUAGUCACUCCUUCAUUAUCUUUAGUAUCCUCACAGCCAUCUACUUCCAAAAGUGCUGAGGCCUCAUCUUCCACGGACAAGACUGAUCCAGCGUACUUGGAAAUAGAUGAAGAUUUGAAGAUGAGGUCGAAAAACCUUUCUGCUACCUUGCAUAAGCUGCAUCUUUGGGAGAAGAAACUCUAUAAUGAAGUUAAGGCUGAGGAGAAAAUGCGGGUAGUUCAUGAGAGGAAGUGCCGUAAGCUGAAGCGUUUGGAUGAGAGGGGUGCUGAAGCUCAUAAAGUUGAUGCAACUCGGACAUUAAUUAGGACUCUCUCCACAAAGAUAAAAUUUUCAAUUCAGGUUGUAGACAAGAUAUCUGUUACAAUAAACAAUAUUAGGGAUGAAGAGCUAUGGCCACAGCUAAAUGAAUUAAUUCAGGGAUUAACCAGGAUGUGGAAAAGGAUGCUUGAAUGCCAUCAGAAUCAAUGCCAGGCAAUCAAAGAAGCCAAAGGUUUGGGUUCUAUUGGAUCAGGUAAAAAGCUUGGUGAUGAUCAUCUUAAAGCCACAUUGCAGCUUGAGCAUGACCUUCUUAAUUGGACUUCCAGCUUCUCAAGUUGGAUAGGUGCCCAGAAAGGUUAUGUGAGAGCCUUGAAUAGCUGGCUUGGUAAAUGUCUCUUGUAUGAACCAGAAGAAACACCAGAUGGAAUAGCUCCCUUCUCGCCUGGUAGGAUGGGUGCACCUCCAGUGUUUGUAAUCUGUAAUCAGUGGGCACAAGCUAUGGAUACAAUAUCUGAAAAGGAAGUAAUUGAUGCCAUGCGCAUUUUUGCUUCGAGUGUGCUUAAGCUUUGGGAACAGGAUAAAUUAGAAAUGCGCCAGAGAAUGAUGAUGAAUAAGGAUUUGGAGAGAAAAGUUAGAAAUUUAGAUAGAGAGGAUCAAAAGAUACACAAGGAGAUUCAGGCAUUAGACAAGAAAAUUGUUCUUGUUGCAGGGGACAGUUAUAAUCUAUCUGUGGCUGGAAACAUUGUGUAUCAGAGUGAUACUAGCAAUAGCAGUUUACAGGGGAGCCUGCAACGCAUUUUUGAGGCCAUGGAGAAAUUCAUGGCUGAUUCAACUAAAGCUUAUGAGGAGCUAAUUCAGCGUGGUGAAGAAGAGAGGCUUGCUCGAGAGCAUGAGAGAGUUUCAUAGGGCUGUAUGGUGCAAUUGAAUGCAUCGUUUCUUUUGAACUGCUAAUUGUCAGGUGCAACAUAAAGUCCCAUGAGAAAUGUAUGGAGUGCAGGAUCUGCCAGAAUUUAUGAUGUCGAAUUAAACUGCUCCAGUUAUCCCUUUUGUGGUCUUGUAGUGGAGCACUCCUGGUUUUGAAGCCUUCGAUUGAGGGUAGACUUCUUCAGGUGGUGGAUGAUGGUGUAUCUUGGUUUCAGUGGCAAGCCAUAUUACUGGCUAAAAUUUUGUUGGCAGAUAUAAUUGUGAGGGCGAUGAGAUGAUUUCAUCUCUUUUAGACCAGACGUGGCUUUUACCAUAUUGAUCCAACAAUUAUGAUUGGAUGAUGAUAUGGAAUUGAUAAAAGGAGGCAAUGGUCAUAUGAUAAUGCCAAUUCAAAACCAAAUUCUGUCACUUCUGUAUGUUCUGCAAAACAGAUGCUGGCCAGCUCUUAGGAUUGCAUUUGAGUACGGCGAUGUUGAUAAUAUGUGGUGCUUGUUGAUGCCCUAUUGCCAUUAAUUUGCUAUCAAGCACUAGGCUUCAAGGAAGUAAGACAGAAAUAAGCUUGACAGAUCCAAGUAAAGCAGAUAUUUCCCCGCAAUUUUGAUGAGGAUGUGUUCGGUUGUAGGUGCAAGGGCUGUGUAGGUUGACGCAAGUCAGAGAAUUGCCCAGAUAGCAGAUGUUCCUUUUUUUCUCCCAAAAUAUUUAUUUAUAUUAAUUCUUGUACAGGCCUUUUUCACUGAGAAGACUUCCAAUAAAGGGUAUUGCUGAAAAUGUGCGGAAGGUUUUAAUGAUGUAGCAGAUAGAGUAUUCUGCGUAGUUUCAGGCUGUUCAAGCUGUAGGCUUCCACAAUGUUUAUAAAAGUUAGAACAUUCUCGCUAUUGCCUUUUAUUGCAGAUCCUAUUUUGUAACUAUAACACUGUCCUGAGGCUCCCUGUGCUUUGUUGAUUGAAGUGUGCAGUUCUGUGCAUAUAGUGGUAAGAUCUACAGUGGUAUUUUGGCACCAAAAUGAAGUUCCAUUCUGUGAACUUUGGGAAAAAUAUAGUGGUUGAACAGUGAUAGAAUCUGGUAAAAUAGCAGUAUUUGGGCGGAGAUUUUUUGACUAGCUGGAUGGAUCAUGAAAUGACUACCAAAUAAUUGAGGGCUAUCAGGUACCUAUGCAGUGAUUGUGAUUAGGAUAUUUUGGUGGUGACCCAUCAGAUUUUACUUUUAUCUUUUGCAGGAUAUUUAGUCAGAAAAGUUUGUGAUGAUUGUUGCUUGGGUUUGCAGAAUGAAGAAAACUCAUCUUUCACAUUGCUUGGUCUUUUCUUCACAUAAGUGGACACCACUGCAAGCUUUUUUAAAAAUAAUUGGACUAAAUUUAGAAUAUUAUUUUGUUAUAAAAAUAAAUACCUGUAUUUUCUUAAUGUAUUUUAGUCUUAAUUAAGUUCUUAAUUUUUUUUAAUUAAUCCCAACACCUUCAAUUAAGGCUAUAACUAGCAUCGCUUUACAUUACAUGGCAAAU